UGCUCAACGGUUGGCCUCUGAAACAUG
rnacentral:piRNA from 1 species